rnacentral:lncRNA from 1 species
AAUUUAGAUUUAAUUUAAAAUUUAAAAUUUAAAAUUUAGAACUUUCAAUUGUUGAAUUUGAUAUUUAAAAUUUAAACUUUAUAUUUUAAAUUUAAAUUUAAAUAUAAUAUAAGGGGCAAUAUUAUUAUUUUUUAUUUAUAACUACUCACUAUUUUUCUUACUCUAUUUUAUCUAUUCAAAUGUUAUUUUUCUUAUUCUCAGAAAUAACUUAAUUUUUAUCUAAAUCCAAAAUUGGUCUAUUGUAAGCUUAUAUCUGAACUUAUACCUAUUCCUAAAAUAGGCAUUUUUUGCUUAUAUCCGAACCAAACGAAACGAGGAUAGACUAUAAUAUAUAACACUGUAUUUUUUUUAUUUAAUUUUUUUAGUUUUUAUUUUU